rnacentral:lncRNA from 1 species
CCAAAACACGUUCAAAACAUCAUCUUCCUCAUCCAUACGCGUAUUGCCUAGUGCCAUACGCGUACCAGCCAUCUCAUACGCGUAUUGCCUAGUGCCAUACGCGUAUGACCAGAAACCAGAACUCUCAGAUCUGCAAUGGCUUUCUCUGCUACGAGAUCUAUCCAAUUCACCCUUCCACAGUCCAAAUUUCACACAAUAUUACUCAUAUCAUCUAACCCGAAUCAUCCCCUAUUCGAUUUCACAAAUCCUAACAUCACUACAUAUAAUUUCUACGAAUUCCUUCGAUUAAAAAUCCCGAUUUCGUUCAUCCAAUAUUUCACCAUUUUCAGCAUACAUCAAUCUAAUCAGAGGUAAAACAAUAGUUUAUUACUACCCAGUACAUAUCAUCCCAUAAUACCCGUUAAUCGAUGAUAAACCCCCCUUACCUGAGUCAAUCCGGCAAAUUCCGUUAGCUUCAAGCUUUUCCUCUUCUCUUGCUCUGCCUCUUUGCCCUUUCUCUUUCAGCCGCUUCUCUUUUCCUUUUUCACGUGAAAACCCUUUUCCAAAAAUUAGGACUUUUUAUUAUUCCAACUUAUAUACUCCAAUAAUAAAACCCAAUAAUAUUAUCCC